rnacentral:rRNA from 1 species
UGGGGAAUUUUCCGCAAUGGGCGCAAGCCUGACGGAGCAAUACCGCGUGAGGGAGGAAGGCUCUUGGGUUGUAAACCUCUUUUCUGGGGGACGAAGAUUGACGGUACCCCAGGAAUAAGCAUCGGCUAACUCCGUGCCAGCAGCCGCGGUAAGACGGAGGAUGCAAGCGUUAUCCGGAAUUAUUGGGCGUAAAGCGUACGUAGGCGGCUUAUCAAGUCUGGGGUUAGAGACCACGGCUUAACUGUGGGA